CAGUGAACAGGUCUUAAAAACUCCUAAUUGUUUGAAAAAUACCUUACGCAAAGGAAAACCAUGUUGGAACAUUGAAUGCAAACAAGAGUAUCACGAGAAGCAAGAAUCACUAUGGCUCAACGCUAAAGUCAGUUUGCAGCCC